GCAAACUUGGUCAUUUAGAGGAAGUAAAAGUCGUAACAAGGUUUCCGUAGGUGAACCUGCGGAAGGAUCAUUACAGAGUUCAUGCCCUUUUAGGGUAGACCUCCCACCCUUUGUUAUACAUACCUUUGUUGCUUUGGCGGGCCGCUUUUUAGCCACCGGCUUUUAGCUGGUGCGUGCCCGCCAGAGAACCCUUAAAUUCUGUAUUACAGUAUUGUCUGAGUAAACUUUUAAUAAGUUAAAACUUUCAACAACGGAUCUCUUGGUUCUGGCAUCGAUGAAGAACGCAGC
rnacentral:misc_RNA from 1 species